AUAACAUGGAAACCGUUUCCCUGAUGGACUGCAAGACUCCCGUCUCAGUGGCUACGGCAGGCCCUCCCUCUCAUCCUGGUUUCUUUUCAUUUUACCCAACUCUCACAGCAGGGUGGAUGGAAUUAGAUAAGGAGGGGUAGAUUUUCAAAGGGCUCAAUGAUGAGCAGCAGGGGUGGCCGAACCAGCUACUGGAGGCCUUUGAAAAUACAUUACUGGGUCGCUGCUUUGAAAAGAUUUUCCCCUAAGGCAUCUGGUCUGCUGUCCCCUAUGGGACAUGCAGCCGGGACUGUUGGGUAAUUGGCAUGAAGCAGAGUUUCUUCACACAGUAAAUGGCAGAGCUGGUUGGAUCCUGCAGAAACAGCAUUCUGCCACCAGUCAGCUGUUUGAUUUAACCAUUUCACUGCUUGUUCUACUUUGCUCUUGGGGAGCGUUCACACCCACGGGUGUGUGAUCACAUGACUGUCUGGGAGAAAGGCUGGUCUUCACAUUCACAUCUACAUUCACCCCAAACCAAGAGUGUUCAUUCAUGAUCAACAGAAUUCACCCUUCUGCAAUCUUUGUUCCCAGGAAUAAAGAGUUCCAGUCACCCAGUCAGGGCACAGAAAUAAUACCAUGCGACAUAGAUGACCAAUCACACAUCGCGAACAGCAGAGGAUCAAAGUUAUCAGCAUGAGAGCAGUUUACUGGCUCGGUCCAAAUGGUCUGGUGAAUAGUCACGAAGAAGAAACAUUCACCCAAGUUGGGCUCAGUUUGUGAUUGAUUCACGAGCAGGCUGUCCUACACGGUUCACAUCCAGGUGCAGGAAUUGACGGGUGCAAUUCUCUGGCCUGUGUCCUGCAGAAGGUGAGAGUAGAUGGCCUAAUGGUCCCUUCUGGCCUUUAACUUUCUGUAUCUGGAUCUGAGUGCCUCAGCGAUCAUCUCACUCCAUCUCUGAUUCCUACAAAAGGCAUGAAACACACAUCUAAGAUGACUCGCUGUAACAGCUGGCUACCUAAUAGUGAGGAGCUAACUUCCAACAGCACAGUGAUGCCCUGGGUUGAUUUUAAUGGCAAGAAUCAGGAAGAAUCUCUAUUCUACAUCCUCACCUAGAAAUACCACCUGGGACUACAGUGCCCCAACAUCACCCUGGGUUUCUCUUCGAGGCUGCCCAGCCAAAUACUGACCCAGUCUGAGCUGGUGUGUGUGUUUAUAUUUCACAAUGACUCAGUGGCCUAUCAUGAUCAUUUGCAGUGUUUAUUCAGAAAGGACCCAGGCUGAGGGAUCUCUGGAGACGGGACAAACACCUUCCCUAACAGGCUGGGACAACAACACCAACUCAUGGCAUCUCACUUCUUCCUCUGCCAGCUGCAACCCAGAAUUGCAAAGAUGCCGGAGAAUAAAGUGGUUUGAUGAUCCCAGAUGGCUGCUGGGGAUCUUGACAGAGUAGAAGAGACUCUGCCUCAAAUGGUGUCUUGGAGUCUGCCUCUGAGAAGGUGCGUUUGUGAGUGUCCGUGUCCCAAGCUGAUGGUGCCAAUUGGACGGGCUGUUCUGGGUCAGCCUAUCAUACAGCUAGACGUGAGCCAAAGAAGUUUAGACCUGGAGCCAGAUCCAGCACUGUGCCCUCCCCUGCGGGAGGUUUGGAUCUACUGCGCUGACUCCGCUCCGUUGAAGGUGCAUGUCUCCAAUUCCCUUCCAGGCUUGCUGGCGGGUGAUGUCUGGGGCUUGCACAAGAAAUGUAAAGGCAGAAACAGGCAGGGAUUAAGCUGCUAACUGCAGCCACAGUGACAGAACCAGGGCUGGAAAUGCUGCCAGGUUGCUACGGCACCACAGCGUCUUUCCUGGUGAGAGGCAAAAUGGGCUUCUAGCCUUCCCAGCCCUAACAGGCAGAUUCUAACACGAGACAGGACACCGAGGAGCAAUGUUUGAGCCAGAGAUAAAACCAGGCCCCUGGGGAGAGGGGGUCAGAUGUGACAGGAGCAGUGCUGGCUCCACCACCAAACAACUGUGCAGCGGGGCCUCUUUCCUGACUCUUACUAGACACCAUUAGGGAGCAUUCAAUUUGAGGUAAAAAUCAAAGCAUGUACUUUACCUCAAGGGUAGCCUGUGCUCUGUGUUAAGGAGAGAAGAGCAUGCCCAGAAGCUAGGAGGGUAUGCGACCUGAUCCUCAGCUAUCCUAAGACCCAUUUAUGCCACUCUGGCAGUGUAAAGGGGAUGUAAAGUGCCAGAAAUGGACCCUUGAAAAUGCCCCUGCACUAGGGGCUUCCUACUUUGUGUAGGUCUGCCCUACUGAGGAGCAGGGAGUGGAUCAGGGAUGUGGCCAGGUCACACUGUGCUACAGCUAUUUUCUGCCUCUCAGGGCCCACGGGGGCACAGGAAAGCAGCAUUGAAGUUAGAGUAGCCCUGAGGCAGCUCUAGCUUACACUGGAGCCAGACAGACCCCUGCAGGAUCCCAACGGCGGUUUAAAGCCAGAGACCUUAAUCCCCUCUUUCCCAGACUCAGACUUCAAGGUCAGAAGGGACCAUCGUGAUCAUCUAGUCUGACCUCCUGCACAUCACAGGCCACAAAACCACACCCACCUACUCCUGUAAUAGACUCCUACCCUCUGGUUGAGUUAGUGAACUCCUCAACUCAUGAUUUAAAGACCACAAGUUACAGAGAAUCCACCAUGUAUUCUAGUUCAACCAGCAAGUAACCCAUGCGUCAGAGGAUAGUGAAACCUCCCAGGGUAUCUUUCAACUCUUCCCCAAAUACAGAAACAGAGUAACUGAGAACCAGGCCCAUAUUGUCUACUGUAUUUCUCUCUUCAUUCAGCUUUUCUCGUUCUUCUUCUCUAACCCUUUUCUACCCCUUUCUGUUUAGCUUUCACUCAGCCUGCUCUCUGUCUCUGCUCCCCAUUUCACCAUAGUUUUUCAUUAGAAUUUUUCUCUCUGCUUCAUUUCUGCCCUCCCCCCAGCCUCACGAGCCCAGGAUGGUCCUGGCUUGAGUCAAACUUUCAACCCUGGAAUGCUUGGGUUUGACGUGAAACCAAGCAAGUCAACCCAUCUCGAGGGUGGUGACCUCAGCAGCAUUGCACAACCUGUCUAUCUGUGGUCUGUGUUUAGCAAGUUAAAUCUUAAUAUAUUAAACCAUUCAUCAGAAGUACACACAUGGCCUCCAUCAACGUAUUAUCUGAGCAACUACUGGUCUUU